GACACCCUUAUUGAAACCAAUCAAUCGAAUGAAAUUUGACAUGAAUGAGACUGCAACCUUGCCAAUGGAAAGCAGAUCGAAUAGUCUAAUGCCAAUGUUGCAAUUGAUUGCUUCCAUUAUUUGAUUUGUACGUCUUUCAUUUAUGUCAUAGCUGUACAUUCCAUCGAUAGAUGUAUUCCAAGGGGCUUACCUACUGAGGUAUGUGUGUUUGUAUGUCUGUUUUUGUGGUGUCUCAGUGGAAUAUGAGUUUUUUCACGGUUUGUUUUUCACAAAGUACACAAAGAGAAUGAAGACUCAAGAUGGGUCAAAUGUACGAGCAGGGCUACCCUGGUGGCCAAAUACGGCGGGCCCUGCAGGCUCAGGUGGCCCUGCCUCGUCACAUUGGGCCAGGCUGGUGAUAAGAUUCCACGAGAGGGAACCACACGAAGACCGUAGGAAAGUAAACUUUGGGAACGUCGUCAGCAGUCAGGUAGAUUAGCCUAGAUCAGUUGUGUUUCGAGCUCAUUGUUGGUGGCAGUCUUGAGACCGCACAAUGACCUUUCUUCCCUGUGCACGACUUGAAGGCUCUUUAUCUUCCUCCCCUACUGCCCUCAGAAAUCAUCAGCAUCAUAUUUUUGUUCUACGCCAUUCUUUGUUUCCAAACUUCUUCAGCAAUGCUAGUUUCACCUUUUGUUACAUCCUAGUAGUGAAGCCUGCUGGGCAAGUUGGUAAAUCAUGAUUGGCAAACAUUAUUGUGGCCAUUGCUGUUUAUGUUCGGUUGGUUACUGAUGACAUGAUACACUCGUUCUUCACCAAAGCACUGGGAGAGAUAGUUGGUAAAUAUUUCUGCCAAGUAUCUCUUUCUGAAAUGAUAACGCGAAGUUGGUACUGUUCUUUAUGCGUUUUCGCAAAAAAAAAGAACAUCUCAUGGCGGAAUUUAUGCCUAUCUUGAAAUUUCUUUGCUAGGUGCUCCAGCACCAACCAUUUCCAUAGCAUUUUAGCCAUCGCUUUUGCUUUCUGAAGACAACCCUGUUCUCUUUUUUCAAAAUUGCACUCAAUAGCUUCUUAAAGGGCUUUUUUACGAAACAGGGCUUCAGGUAACACGGCAGAUCUCCUCUCUUUAUCCGCUGUCAGAACACAUAGCAGUUGUUGUAAAGAUAAUCUGCCACUCUCUUUAACAGCACAGUCCUCUUUGGUCGUACUAAAAGUUCGAGCAAGUCCAUGCCUCGGGAUAAACAGUUGUUCUAGUCACUUUCCGGGGCGAGCCUGGCGACCUGUCCGACCGUCCCUAGUAGCUCCAGAGCAUUUUUGUUAGGCUGAACAGCGCACUUUGGUCCAAGCUGGAGAACACGAAGAAUGUCCUUGGGAAUGGAGGCGCUACCUUCACUGUGAACGUGGCUAUACGCGCUCACCUUCUUCGAGGGCUGUGGUGCUCGGAGCUGAGAUAGCAGGAACUGCCAAAGUCCCUCCGUCGUCUGGUCAAGAGUUCAGUGGAAACCUUGCCACAGUUGUGGAGCUGUUGAAGGGCGUGCUGUCUUGGUCACUUGAACAAACAGGUACUCCCUGAACUAGCCAGCUCUGUCUCGCCAUUCUGACCGCAAUAUCUUGAAGAUCCUUGUCGCAUGCUCGACUGAAGGCCCGAUGGUACGAAAGUACAUCCGGAGCACCGAUGGCAAAAAUUUCACAUGUAAACAGAAGGAAAGUGUGUGAGCCUGGCAUAUGGCAUUGCAGCCAAGGAAGCAAGAGCAUUGCAUAAAGAGAACGCAAAACAGA
rnacentral:lncRNA from 1 species